UGGAGCCAGCAGCAGCACACAGGCUCAGAGGUCUGUCAAGGAGCUUUACGCAGCCGUGACUCAGAGAGAGGCAUCAGUGGAGAGAGUCUGUAGACACAGCCAGCAGCUGUCAUGUGGAGGGCAUUAAUAAUGUAUAUGCAGGUUGAGACUGUC
rnacentral:lncRNA from 1 species